UACAGAGGUCUCAAGCGUUGUUCGGAUUCAUUGGGCGUAAAGGGUGCGUAGGCGGCGCGGUAAGUCGGGUGUGAAAUCUCGGAGCUUAACUCCGAAACUGCAUUCGAUACUGCCGUGCUUGAGGACUGGAGAGGAGACUGGAAUUUACGGUGUAGCGGUGAAAUGCGUAGAUAUCUGGAGGAAUACCGGUGGCGAAGGCGGCAUCCUGGACCGACAUUGACGCUGAGGAGCGAAAGCCAGGGGAGCAAACGGG
rnacentral:rRNA from 1 species